ACACAUAUAUCUGCUCCCCUUAAACCAAGACCUAUAGGGAGGAUAAAUUACGUCUUUCAUAUCCGAAAGUGAGGGAUUUUCGGAAAUAAGUUUCGCA
rnacentral:ncRNA from 1 species